rnacentral:rRNA from 1 species
GACGAACGCUGGCGGCAUGCCUAAUACAUGCAAGUCGAGCGAACAGAUGAAGUGCUUGCGCUUCUGACGUUAGCGGCGAACGGGUGAGUAACACGUAAGGAAUCUACCUAUAAGCGGGGGAUAACAUUCGGAAACGGGUGCUAAUACCGCAUAAUAUCUUCUUCCGCAUGGAAGAAGAUUGAAAGACGGCUCUGCUGUCACUUAUAGAUGACCUUGCGGUGCAUUAGUUAGUUGGUGGGGUAAUGGCCUACCAAGACGAUGAUGCAUAGCCGACCUGAGAGGGUGAUCGGCCACAUUGGGACUGAGACACGGCCCAAACUCCUACGGGAGGCAGCAGUAGGGAAUCUUCCGCAAUGGGCGAAAGCCUGACGGAGCAAUGCCGCGUGAGUGAAGAAGGCCUUCGGGACGUAAAACUCUGUUAUAAGAGAAGAACAAAUUGUAGAGUAACUGCUACAGUCUUGACGGUAUCUUAUCAGAAAGCCACGGCUAACUACGUGCCAGCCGCCGCAGUAA